rnacentral:rRNA from 1 species
GACGAACGCUGGCGGCGUGCCUAAUACAUGCAAGUCGAGCGGACAGAAGGGAGCUUGCUCCCGGAAGUUAGCGGCGGACGGGUGAGUAACACGUGGGCAACCUACCCUGUAGAUCGGGAUAACAUCGAGAAAUCGGUGCUAAUACCGGAUAAUCAUUUGAAGUGCAUGCUUCGAAUGUAAAAGAUGGCUCCGGCUAUCACUACGGGAUGGGCCCGCGGCGCAUUAGCUAGUUGGUAAGGUAAUGGCUUACCAAGGCAACGAUGCGUAGCCGACCUGAGAGGGUGAUCGGCCACACGGGGCCUGAGACACGGCCCAGACUCCGACGGGAGGCAGCAGUAGGGAAUCUUCCGCAAUGGACGAAAGUCCGACGGAGCAACGCCGCGUGAGUGAUGAAGGUUUUCGGAUCGUAAAGCUCUGUUGUUAGGGAAGAACAAGUGCCGUUUGAAUAAGGCGGCACCUUGACGGUACCUAGCCAGAGAGCCACGGCUAACUACGUGCCAGCCGCCGCAGUAUAC